rnacentral:rRNA from 1 species
GAGCUCAAAUUUAAAAUCUGGCAGUCUACGAUUGUCCGAAUUGUAAUCUCGAGAAGUGUUUUCCGCGUUGGCCUGUGCACAAGUCCCUUGGAACAGGGCGUCAUAGAGGGUGAGAAUCCCGUCCUUGGCACAGAUACCCAAUGCUUUGUGAUACACUCUCAAUGAGUCGAGUUGUUUGGGAAUGCAGCUCAAAAUNGGAGGUAAAUUCCUUCUAAAGCUAAAUACUGGCGAGAGACCGAUAGCGAACAAGUACCGUGAGGGAAAGAUGAAAAGCACUUUGGAAAGAGAGUCAAACAGUACGUGAAAUUGUUGAAAGGGAAACGAUUGAAGUCAGUCGUGCCUGCCUAGAUUCAGCCUUCUGGUGUAUUUCUAGGUCGGCAGGUCAGCAUCAGUUUGGGAGGGUUAACAAGGGGAUUAGGAAUGUGGCAACCUCGGUUGUGUUAUAGCCUAGUUUCGUAUUGAUCUUGCUGGACUGAGGAACGCAGUGCGCCCGCAAGGGUAGGUCUUCGGACACUUUCGCACUUAGGAUGCUGGCAUAAUGGCUUUAAACGACCCGUCUU